GCCUAGAGAGGGCUUCAAAACCCUGUACUGGUCUAUUGGGCCUUUGCUGCACACAGGGCCACGCCGUACAUGAGUCCAUCCAUCCACAUCUCUUCCACGCCCCACUUCGUGUGGUCCACCGUCGAAGCGCCGCCGCCCCUCCCCCUUCGUCGUGCGCUCCGGCGAGGACGACAGCGGUUGCCCCGGUUCGCGGCGCCCACCCACAGCGGCAAGAUGGGGCCGGAUCGAUCAUUGCUUCCUUCAUCUUGUGGAGGCCUUGAGGAACUCCAUCCUGCAGAACAUAUUUGAGGCAGCCAUAGAAACAUCGUAUAUGGUGCUGGAAUACGCCAUGGCCGAGCUUAUCAACAACCGACAUGUUAUGAAGAAACUACAAAUCAAGGUAAGGACGUUUGCAUCCUCCAAGGGCAAAACGUUGGACAUGAUCACGGAGGAGGACCUCAGCUGCCUGCCCUACCUAAAGGCAACCAUGAAAGAGGCCCUGCGCUUGCACCCACCAGGGCCUUUGAUCAGAAGUCCAGAACUAUUCGUUCAACUGGAGCAGAUUGGUUCGGCCAGUUAAUCUCUGAAAUUGAUGAUACAAAGCGACUUAGAGUGAUGAUGUUGUUUUGGAGGCUGUGGCAUGUAACGAACGAAUUGGUACACUCGCCAGCUCCCCCAAUCAAGGUAUCUGUCAGGUUUGUUUGCAGCUACAUUGAUACACUUUUUUCACUUGGUGUGGUUCCAAAGUACGACCCAAUUAAUUAAAGAAAAUGCCCCGAUUUCAACCA